rnacentral:tRNA from 1 species
AGUCCUGUAGGCGAAUAGUUUAAGCCGUCAGUUUACGGAACUGAAGAUUGCGAGUGCGAAUCUCGUCGUCGGGACUC